rnacentral:lncRNA from 1 species
GUAAGAUCUACAAAAAAGUCAACAAGACCAAAAUGGUCAGUCAACCCUUGAGAUUUAAUUGUCCUUUAUAGUCGAUUUUUAACAAUUUUGUAAAUAUUUGUAAUCUUUUACAAAAUCUUCUCCUCUGAAACUAAUAAGACAAAUUUAAGCAAACUUGUCCACAAUCAUCAUUAGAGUCUCUAGUUUAAAAAAUGUGUCCUAUGACCCUGCCCACG